AGUCGAGCGAACGGAUGAGAAGCUUGCUUCUCUGAUGUUAGCGGCGGACGGGUGAGUAACACGUGGAUAACCUACCUAUAAGACUGGGAUAACUUCGGGAAACCGGAGCUAAUACCGGAUAAUAUUUUGAACCGCAUGGUUCAAAAGUGAAAGACGGUCUUGCUGUCACUUAUAGAUGGAUCCGCGCUGCAUUAGCUAGUUGGUAAGGUAACGGCUUACCAAGGCAACGAUGCAUAGCCGACCUGAGAGGGUGAUCGGCCACACUGGAACUGAGACACGGUCCAGACUCCUACGGGAGGCAGCAGUAGGGAAUCUUCCGCAAUGGGCGAAAGCCUGACGGAGCAACGCCGCGUGAGUGAUGAAGGUCUUCGGAUCGUAAAACUCUGUUAUUAGGGAAGAACAUAUGUGUAAGUAACUGUGCACAUCUUGACGGUACCUAUCAGAAAGCCACGGCUAACUACGUGCCAGCAGCCGCGGUAAUACGUAGGUGGCAAGCGUUAUCCGGAAUUAUUGGGCGUAAAGCGCGCGUAGGCGGUUUUUUAAGUCUGAUGUGAAAGCCCACGGCUCAACCGUGGAGGGUCAUUGGAAACUGGAAAACUUGAGUGCAGAGGAGGAAAGUGGAAUUCCAUGUGUAGCGGUGAAAUGCGCAGAGAUAUGGAAGAACACCAGUGGCGAAGGCGACUUUCUGGUCUGUAACUGACGCUGAUGUGCGAAAGCG
rnacentral:rRNA from 1 species